UCCGAAUGGGGCAACCCGGCAGUGGUCAUGCACUGUCACCCAUGCUACAAAGCAUGAGGAGGGAACCUGGGGAACUGAAACAUCUAAGUACCCGGAGGAAAAGUAAUCAAACGAGAUUCCCGAAGUAGCGGCGAGCGAACCGGGAAGAGCCCAAACCGGAAGAGGCAACUUUUCCGGGGUUGAGGACCAACAAGCGUCUGGCCAGGCCUAAUCGAACUGUCUGGAAAGGCAGGCCGCAGAAGGUAACAGCCCUGUACAUGAAAGGCAGAGCCAGAUCGUUGGAAUCCAGAGUACCACGGGACACGAGGAACCCUGUGGGAAGCAGGGGGGACCACCCUCCAAGGCAAAAUACUCCUUGGCGACCGAUAGCGCAUAGUACCGUGAGGGAAAGGUGAAAAGCACCCCGGAAGGGGAGUGAAAUAGAACCUGAAACCGUAUGUCUACAAGCAGUCGAAGCACUUUACAUGUGCGACGGCGUGCCUAUUGAAGAAUGAACCGGCGAGUUACAGGCACUAGCGAGGUUAAGCGGAAAACGCGGAGCCGAAGCGAAAGCGAGUCUUAAGAGGGCGGCGAGUUAGUGUUUGUAGACCCGAAACUGCAGUGAUCUAUCCAUGGCCAGGGUGAAGCACAGGUAAAAUUGUGUGGAGGCCCGAACUCGUGAGCGUUGAAAAGCUUUGGGAUGAGUUGUGGAUAGGGGUGAAAUGCCAAUCGAACGCAGAGAUAGCUGGUUCUCCCCGAAAUAGCUUUAGGGCUAGCCUCAAGUGAUGAUUUACGACGGUAGAGCUCUGAUCGGGCUAGGGGCCUUCUAGGUUACCGAACCCUGUCAAACUGCGAAUGGAGUAAGUUUAACUUGGGAGUCAGACUGCGAGUGCUAAGAUCCGUAGUCAAGAGGGAAACAGCCCAGACCAUCAGCUAAGGUCCCCAAUGCCGUACUAAGUGGCAAAGGAUGUGGCGAUACAAAAACAACCAGGAUGUUGGCUUAGAAGCAGCCACCAUUUAAAGAGUGCGUAAUAGCUCACUGGUCGAGUGUCGCUGCGCCGAAAAUGUCCGGGGCUAAAGUACGGAACCGAAGCUAUGGAUUGGCGAUGCAUUCCAUACUAUUCUACAGGCGAAAAAAGUAGCUAGACAUUUAUUACGACAAGCGUCCAUAAAAACAAAAUCCGGCUUGUCGUUAAAUCCUAUAGCUAAAGAACAUCCUGUAGGUUGGUAUGGAGUGCAUCGCCAGUGGUAGGGGAGCGUUCGUAAUGCACAGAAGGUAUACCGUAAGGAGUGCUGGAGCGUUACGAAGUGAGAAUGCCGGUAUGAGUAGCGAAAAGACAGGUGAGAAUCCUGUCCACCGAAAGCCUAAGGAUUCCUGAGCAAGGAUCGUCCUCUCAGGGUCAGUCGGGACCUAAGCCGAGGCGGAAAUGCGUAGGCGAUGGACAACAGGUUGAUAUUCCUGUACCACCGGUCAUCGUUUGAGUGAUGGAGUGACACAGAAGGGUAGACAAUCGCGAGGAUGGAAAUUCGCGUUUAAACUGGUAGGGUGACUGACAGGCAAAUCCGUCAGUCGAGAACCUGAGAAGUGAUGAGGAGCUGAUCGAAAGAUCGGUGAACUUGUUGAUCCCCCACUGUCAAGAAAAGCUUCUAGCGAGAUGAGUGGUGCCCGUACCGCAAACCGACACAGGUAGGCGGGGAGAGAAUCCUAAGGUGCGCGGGAAAACCCUCGUUAAGGAACUCGGCAAAAUGUCCCCGUAACUUCGGGAAAAGGGGAGCCGUUUUGAGUGUAGGUUAGAAACGACCGAAGCUUGAAGUGGUUGCAAAAGAGAGGCCCAAGCGACUGUUUACCACAAACACAAGUGCCUGCUAAAGCGAAAGCUGACGUAUAGGUGCUGACACCUGCCCGGUGCUGGAAGGUUAAGGGGAAGAGUCAGGCGCAAGCCGAAGCCCAGAACCGAAGCCCCAGUAAACGGCGGCCGUAACUAUAACGGUCCUAAGGUAGCGAAAUUCCUUGUCGGGUAAGUUCCGACCCGCACGAAAGGUGUAACGACUUGGGCACUGUCUCAACGAGGGACCCGGUGAAAUUGAAAUCCCUGUGAAGAUGCAGGGUACCCGCGACUGGACAGAAAGACCCCAUGGAGCUUUACUGUAACCUGACAUUGGAUUUUGGUCAAUCAUGUACAGGAUAGGUGGGAGACGGAGAAGGCGGUACGCUAGUAUCGUUGGAGUCGUUGUUGGGAUACCACCCUUGAUUGACUGAAAUUCUAACUCAAGUAGUAACGAUACUGAGGACCGUGUCAGGCGGGCAGUUUGACUGGGGCGGUCGCCUCCGAAAGUGUAACGGAGGCGCCCAAAGGUUCCCUCAGCGCGGAUGGAAAUCGCGCGAAGAGUGUAAAGGCAGAAGGGAGCUUGACUGCAAGACAAACACGUCGAGCAGGGACGAAAGUCGGGCUUAGUGAUCCGGUGGCGCCGAGUGGAAGGGCCAUCGCUCAACGGAUAAAAGCUACCCUGGGGAUAACAGGCUAAUCUCGCCCAAGAGUCCAUAUCGACGGCGAGGUUUGGCACCUCGAUGUCGGCUCAUCACAUCCUGGGGCUGAAGUAGGUCCCAAGGGUUGGGCUGUUCGCCCAUUAAAGUGGUACGUGAGCUGGGUUCAGAACGUCGUGAGACAGUUCGGUCCCUAUCCAUCGCGGGCGUAAGAGACUUGAAGGGAGCUGCUCCUAGUACGAGAGGACCGGAGUGGACGGACCAAUGGUGUACCAGUUAUCCCGCCAGGGGUACAGCUGGGUAGCUACGUCCGGAACGGAUAAACGCUGAAAGCAUCUAAGCGUGAAACCAGCCUUAAGAUGAGGUCUCUCAUUCUUCGGAAGUAAGACCCCUUAUAGAUGAUAAGGUUGAUAGGCCAGGUGUGGAAGCCCUGCAAGGGGUGCAGCUGACUGGUACUAAUCGGUCGAGGACUUGACUUC
rfam:Acetonema longum DSM 6540 Contig00300, whole genome shotgun sequence.